AUUAAGGAACAAAAGUUGGGCCAGGCAUGGCUCAUGCCUGUAAUCCCAACACUUUGAGAAGUUAAGGCAGGAGGCCUUAGGAGUUGAACUUGAGCCCAGGAGUUCGAGACCAGUCUGGGCAACAAAGAGAGACCCUAUCUCAAAAAAAAAAAUAAAAAUGAUAAAACCAGCUGGCCAUGAUGGCACACAAUUGUAGUCCUAGCUACUCAGAGGCUGAGGUGGGUGCAUCGCUUGGACCUGAGAGUUCGAGGCUGCAGUGAGCCAUGAUUACACUUACACUUACUGCACUCCAGCCUGGGUGACAAAGCAAAACCCUGUCUCAAAAACAUAUUUAAAAAGAAGAAAAGUUAUUUAAUGAUAUUUGCUAUCACUGCUAAAACCUGGUAAGAAAGACUUUCUUCAGGAUCAUCUCGACAGGCAUAGGGACUACUGCAAUGGGAUUUUGCAGUGUGGGAGAGAGAUUGGGCUGAACUCUGAAUACAACCUGGACAAGUGGGAAUUUCUAGCCCAGGAGCAUGGUGGGGGUCAGUUGAUGGAAAAUUACAAGGAAUAAACAUCAAGGAUAAGGGGAAUUCUGGCUAAGCUGACCUAACGGGUUUCUUACUGAAGACAGGCCAGGGUGAUCAGACUAUAUCUGUGGAAUGGUGGAGGUGGAAGAUCUUGAUCAAAUAUAGACGAGAUAAUGAGGGUGGGGAGUUCUUGCUAAACUGACUUGGCCGGGAUCUUGCUAAACUGAACUUUACAAGGAAGUGCACAGAUGGGCCCAGGAGAAGGUUCAGGAGCCUGACUAAAGUUUAAUCAAAAAAGAAUCUUUGUCAUUCUGCAAGCUCAGAGGGACUCUUGGGUGAUCAAUAAUAAUUUAGCUCCAUUUUCUUUUGUUUGUCCAAUGUUGUACUUUAAAGAACACCAGGUAUCAUUCUCUUCAGAAGUAAUGUUUCCUACACAAAGUGACUGCAUGUCAAAUGUGCAAUUUGUCUCUCCAGAGCACAGUGACUGGCUUCUUCGUUCCUGAUAUAAUGGCUAGCUCUGGAUUUUUCUUGGUAAUUUCUAUAUCUCUGUUUUCCUCUCAAUUGUAAUAUUCCUGCAUCAGAAGACGAACUCAGAAGUUGUGGUCCUGGGCUUUUCAGGCAUCUUUGUUUGCUUCUUUUCAUUCCAAAGCUUUUGCUAGGAACAGGGAAGCUGACACAUCAGCAGGCGAGGACCCUUCAAUAGUGUGGAGAGUGAGGGAAGGUUGAACACCUAUGAAGGUAGCUUGUGGUGACUUGAAGGCUUAUCUCUAGGAGCUAUGACCUUUGAGGCUGCAUCAAAGACCCAAAUUAUCAAAUUAGUCACAAGAGAGUAGAUGCCGUGAGGAGCAGGUUGUUCUACCAUCAGGUGGGCUAUGGAAAAGUCAGCAAACAUGGCUGAUGGACCAAAUCCGGUCAGCCUCCUGUUUUUGUAAAUAAAGUUUCAUUGGCACAUAGCCAAACCCAUUUGUAUACUUAUGACCUAUGGCUGUUUUCAUACUUCAGAAGCAGAGUUGAGUAGUUGUGACAGAGACCGUAUACAUAGUCUGCAAAGCCCAGAUUAUUUACUAGCUGGCUCUCUACUGAAAAAAAUAUGCUGACCUCGGAACAGUUAGUGUGGACUGUGGGCUGAGAGUAGAUUGCACCCGCUAUUCUCC
rnacentral:lncRNA from 10 species